CUUUGUGACUGUAUUUACUGUACUUUUCCAUCGGUUUUCUUAUUCUUGUUAAUCUUGUUUCGAUUUUCUGUACCAAUAUCAUUAUCAUCUGCUCUAUAAUAUACAGUUGUUCAAAUUCUCUUAACUCAGAAGACGAAUAUGUAAUGAAACUCGGUAUACAGAUUAUUAUUAAUAAGGUAAUACUAAUGCCAAAUGAGUUUGGAUCCCAGGGGUCAACUCUCAGUGCUAUUAAGUAGAACAGGGGAGUUGAUAAUUGCGAGAAUAAGACGCGAAAAAAAAGAGGUGGAAUCACAUUUUUGUGUGAUGUAUGGUAGGGAGACAUCCUGUAUUGGAGGCGUGGUCAACAGUUGUUUCAGCCGGGCGAAGGCGUUCUGUUCAGAUUCUUCCCAUUUGAAUAAGGCAUUUUUACUGGAUCAGCCUGUAUACCAUCUGGUAUGGAGGUACACGCGAAAGUACAUUUCUGACGAUGCGCACUUAGUUUAAACAUGACAAAGAUAAUAUUAGACAUCUUUGAACAGUAGUCUCUCAAAUACAUACAUUUCGCACUUUUACGUGCGAUAAUCCCACUUGGAAUGGAUCUACGCGUCUUUGAAAUGUUGAAGCCGCAUUACGCAACCCGAAAGGCAUACAUCGAAAACGGAAAAUACCGAAAGGAGUCAGGAACCCUGUUUUGUCUCGGUCAUCUGGUUAAUGGCAUCGAUUUACAUUGGGGACAUUGGGACCUUACGUAGUCAGGUCUACCACAUCCAAAGCGCACCAGUUUGUUGUUGACGCUUGCAACAUUGUGUUCUGCAGAGGUUAUUGGCACUGCUCUAUGUUACAGCAUAUAUCCUACAAUCUGUUUUCAGAUAAGUUAUGGCAAUAGUCACAUCUAGGUUUAAUCGUAUUAGGUUGGUUGAUAGAGAAUGAGGUGUACCUUCGAGAAGUUCGCAGAUUUGCUUUAUCUGUAAAAUUUUCUUUAAUAGAACGCGCCUUGUCAAUCAGCGUGGCUAAGUUAUUUACUUUGUCUCGGAGUAACCGUUCUCUUAUUCGUAAACUGAGAAGUGUGUAAACCAUGUUUAGUUUGUGAACUUCGUGUAGGCCCGGAGUAAACGCGAUAAACGCAAACGUGGGUUAGCUACGAAGAAUUCAGUUGGUUCGUUAUCCACUUGUUGUUUCGAAAAAAAAUCACUAAAAAUUUGGUGUGGCGGUUUACUAAAUGCAAAAGCAUGGCAAAGAGCUUUUUAAUCUUAAAAUCUAACUUUUGCACUCAGCUUAAAGAUUCUCAUUAUUUAAUAUUACCUACAUUUAAACGAAAAUCAUAACGAUGUCAUUCCGAUCGCACAACUUAAAAUACCGAAUCAUCCCAUAAAUGGACUGAAAUAACGGGCGUUGCAGAAACUUAGGUCUCCUGAUUGAACGGCUAUUGUAAGUCAAAUUGGUAUUUCUUCUCAAACUCAAAAUUCCGCCGCAUUGACAGAAAACAAAACACGCGGCACCCUGAUAACUAGCGGAUAUAACAGCAGGACCAUCGCGUGAUUGUAGUUAAUUUCAUCUUAAGCGGCUACUUUUCGGCGCUUCCAACUUUCACACGCGUUUAACUGAUCAGGGUCGCACUCAUAACUAUUCGACCACAUAAAAAAUCGAAAACUUCAGGAAAUUCAAAUUAAAUAAACUCCAUUGGCGGACUCCUGUUACAAUACCCCGUCCUUGUAUUUAAACUAAUUACCUUAAUUAUUUUGAAAACACAUCGUUUUCUAUCGUUUGUAAAUGGUCGAUUAUCGUAGAUCCGUUUUUCACAUUCGCCGUUCUGGAUUUGUUCCAUCUUUCCCUCAAGUUUAUAAUUUUUUUGUUGGUCAUUCCCACUUUUCAAGUGUUUUUGUAGCUUUUUUUUAAACCCGUAACGUCUAUUAAUACCGGUCGCUUAAAAUGAUCUCCCCCCCCCGCCCCUUUUCAUCUUCCUGGAUGCCGGUUCUUAGUUUCUUCGGUAGUAGGUCCGCGCACAAUUGGUAUGAAAAAUAAACAAAUUACAAAUUAUUCAAAAUUAUUCAAACGCCACCAACGGAAUACGACCAUGCCCCUGGUCCAGGUCGGCGACAGUGGCGAAACGGUCGCGGAAGUCUCGGGUAAACUCAAUCAAAGUAAACGCCAGCUCCAGGAUUCAGACGAAUUCAGCACAUGGCAGCGGCGGUCACUUCGGAAGCACUAAAACAAAAUUCGAGGCAGGGCCCAUACUGCAGCUUCCCUAGUAGGAAUGAAAGCAACAAAACACAAAUUAAUUAGCGGUGUGUACGGGAACGCAAAUGUAGGAAAGUGAAAUAAUAUCCAUCUUCAUAAUUAAUGGAACACAAAGCAGCAAAAAGCUGUACAUACGGUGCAGUCAACUUAAUGCAGAAGCAUAAAUUAAGCGGUACGAAUACAAAACUAUAAUCACCUCUAAACAACGACAUUAGCUUUUAUAAAAAUCGGUCAUUUUAUUGUUAGACCCGUGUAUUCGGAUAAGAACGUCCAAAAAUUAUAACUUUUUUGAUUAAUUUCUCGGCCUCUGGUCAUCAUACAAAUCGGGGACAUACUACAAAAUUUCAAUUAAUUAAGCGCGCUUCUAAUGAAAUCGCGACUUAAUCGCAACUCAUUUAAUUAGCUACUGUUCAUUACUCGUUUAAAUGGGCGAAAUGAAAUUUCAGACUUCGUCCUUCUAAUUAACCCCCAUUAUCUCUUGGAAUUUCUCAGGUCAGGCAAAACGUCUCUUAUCAAACUUAUACCGGCGCAAACCUGCGUGGCUUUGCAGUUUUAACGCUCGGUUUCAUAUACAAUUGGAAACUAAAAACUAAAAUAUUAAUUUCCCCUCGUCUUCUAAUGACAAGAGCUUUCGGACGCAACAAAGAUAAAUGAAAUAUCUUGACGGGAACGGUUGCAAACGGCGAAUUAAUUACUUUUCCCUUGUAUCUUGAACUUCUAGAACAAACAUAAAUACUUUCGGCAUAAAUAUCCCGCACGCAGGCGGUCUAUAAAUAAAAUAAAACAAUCUUAAAAUUACUUACGGUUUUUUUCAAAUAAUCCCAAUAAUCUGGUCGUAAAAGGUUCGCGAUAUUCAGGCGCACUUAUCAGUCACUUAAUCUUCUGACUCAGGAAUUGUUAAAUCAACCGCCCAUCGCAAUUAAACUUGAUAACGUCAGCUUCGAAGGAACGCGUCUCACACUUCUCCAAUAUGAAACGCGCAAUUCUUUGAACCCAGAUGAGUCCUAUUUAAAGCAUCUUAUCUAAAUCGAAUAUUACACAAUUACAAACAAUUACUAAAGAAAAGAUAGACACUGAGAUAACAAAUUCAAGUGCAACUUUAUACUUAUUCGUCAACCAUCCCCCGGAUUUACACUGAUAAAAUUGAAAUAUUAUCCUGUCAUUAUUUUUGGUGUUUAAACCGAAAUAACGUCUACCUGACG